UCAUCUUCGGGGGUAGAGCACUGUUUCGGCUAGGGGGUCAUCCCGACUUACCAACCCGAUGCAAACUACGAAUACCGAAGAAUGUUAUCACGGGAGACACACGGCGGGUGCUAACGUCCGUCGUGAAGAGGGAAACAACCCAGACCGCCAGCUAAGGUCCCAAAGUCAUGGUUAAGUGGGAAACGAUGUGGGAAGGCACAGACAGCCAGGAUGUUGGCUUAGAAGCAGCCAUCAUUUAAAGAAAGCGUAAUAGCUCACUGGUCGAGUCGGCCUGCGCGGAAGAUGUAACGGGGCUAAACCAUGCACCGAAGCUGCGGCAGCGACACUA
rnacentral:rRNA from 1 species